rnacentral:rRNA from 1 species
UGAGCCAAGUUUAGGGUUACUUAAAAACCCGAUGCAGUAUUGAACUGAAGAGUUUGAUCAUGGCUCAGAUUGAACGCUGGCGGCAGGCUUAACACAUGCAAGUCGAGCGGUAACAGAG